rnacentral:rRNA from 1 species
UACGAAGGGGGCUAGCGUUGUUCGGAAUUACUGGGCGUAAAGCGCGCGCAGGCGGUCUUCCAAGUCAGUGGUGAAAGCCUGGAGCUCAACUCCAGAACUGCCAUUGAAACUGUUAGACUUGAGUACGAGAGAGGUGAGUGGAAUUCCCCAGUGUAGAGGUGAAAUUCGUAGAUAUUGGGAAGAACACCAGUGGCGAAGGCGGCUCACUGGCUCGUAACUGACGCUCAGGCGCGACAGCGUGGGGAUCAAACAGG